rnacentral:rRNA from 1 species
ACCAGACUCCUACGGGAGGCAGCAGUGGGGAAUAUUGCACAAUGGGGGAAACCCUGAUGCAGCGACGCCGCGUGAGUGAAGAAGUAUUUCGGUAUGUAAAGCUCUCUCAGCAGGGAAGAAGAAGGACGGUACCUGAGUAAGAAGCCCCGGCUAACUACGUGCCAGCAGCCGCGGUAAUACGUAGGGGGCAAGCGUUAUCCGGAUUUACUGGGUGUAAAGGGGGCGCAGACGGCGAUGCAAGCCAGGAGUGAAAGCCCGGGGCCCAACCCCGGGACUGCUCUUGGAACUGCGUGGCUGGAGUGCAGGAGGGGCAGGCGGAAUUCCUGGUGUAGCGGUGAAAUGCGUAGAUAUCAGGAGGAACACCGGUGGCGAAGGCGGCCUGCUGGACUGCAACUGACGUUGAGGCCCGAAAGCGCGGGGAGCAAACAGGAUUAGAUACCCCAGUA